UUUUUUUUUUUUUUUUUUUUUUGUAUUUUUAGCAGAGACGGGAUUUCACCAUGUUAGCCAGGAUGGUCUCAAUCUCCUGACCUCGUGAUCCACCCACCUCGGCCUCCCAAAGUGCUGGGAUUACAGGCGUGCACCACCACGCCCGGCCUGUAGCACAUGAUUUUAGGGCAUUCACAGUUCACCUUUGAAGCCUCUUCUUUUAAGAACCUCCUCACACAGAGUAAGUAAAGAAGAAUAUUAAAGUUGGAACCCUGAGGGACAUUGUCACCAAAAGCGUUAGCAAAAAAGGACAACUCAGCCUAAGAAACUGAGGAUGAAGAAAUGACACCAUGGAUUCCAGACAGCUGCCGAUUUUCAGAAGUAGGAAAGAUGCAGCAAUAACAAAUGUUAGUACGAGGCUAAAUGAAGUGAGAAGUAAACUUUGGCCACUGGUGUGUAUUGGUCUAGAGGUUUGCUGGUCCAGAAGCCAGACUGUUGUAAGAAGACAGAGACAUGAAGAAGAAAAAUCUGAAUUUGUGUAGGCACACUUUCAAGAAACUAGCAACUAGGAAGUUUGAAUGAGUAACAGAGGUAAGAUAACAGAUUUUUUACUUAUUGUUUCUGGAUAGGGUUGAGCUAAAACAUGAGCCUGCUUCUUGGCCAAAGGGAAAUAGCAGAAGAGUAAGAAAGAUUGAGAUAAAGUAGAGAGAAAAAAAUUAAUGCAGGAAAGAAAGGAAAAGAAAAAUUAUUGCAAAAAGAGAAAUUAUUGGAAAAAUUAAUGCCUAGAAAGAAACGUUAAAGAAAAUUAUCUUAAUCAUGGCAAUUUAAUGGAGGAGAGGUGACACUUUCUAUGAGACAGAAAAGAAAGAAAACACCUUUCAGCUGUGGAUAAUGGCAGACACGGAAGAAAGGAGAAGACAGAGGAGAUUGUACUAGAGGAUAUUUACCUUCUCUGUAAAUUACAAGGCAAGGUCACAAGUGCUGGGAAGGGACGUUACGUGCUUAAUGGUGGAGGUGGGAAAGGCAGUCAUAUGUUAUAGAUAUUAGUACAGUAUCCUUUUUCACCACCAUGUGUUCAAUACCUAGCACAAUGCAUGGCACACGAUGGAAAAUCUCUAGAUAUACAUUGAAUGAACAACUGCAAUUUGAGGAAUUUCGGUGCAUGGAAAAAUGUAGAACAAGCUGAUAGGUCAAAUGAGAAUAAAAGCCAACCAGGGAGUAGUAAAAGGUGUUCCAGAUAUUUUUAAGAGGUUUAAGAAAAGGAAGCCCAGAAGUACUGUAAUUUAUGACCUAAUAGAGAGCUUCAGAUGACCUGCAGUGAUCCUAGGAAGAAAGGAUCUAUAGCCUCCUCAGGAGCUAUUCAACCUUGCAGUCCUCAUACAUCCUUAGAAAACAGGUAUCCAUUCAAUGAAUAAGUAAUUACUGACAGUUGGCAGAUAACACUUGUAAGUUUCUUAUCCAACACCAAAUACUCUUAGCAGAGAUGGACAGUGUAGAAAAAAUAGUUAAUUACACUGUCAGCUGGUCACCUGGACUCUGUGGAUCCCACAAAAGUAAAAGGAAUGACAAGUAGGACUGACCCACAGCUCUGCAGCACAUGUCAGUCUAGAUAGAGGGGACUCAUUCAUCUGCGCUUUGUAUCCUUUCUCAUGUUGAAAACCAUUCAAACCGAAAAACAAAAAUCCCUCUCAAAAUCCAAAAUAACAGUCACUGAACAAUAGAGAAUGGAAGGCAUAUUACUAAAUCUCUCCCAGUGAAGGGCUGUUGAACUAGAGUCCCAGUGACUUGGGCUACAUGAUGUGUUACAGAUGCUGUGUUCAGGUGUCUUUUGAAUUCACAUUAUAUCUAAUAAAUCACAGUAUGUUCACUUGUCCUAUUAAAACUGUAUUCUACCUUACCAGGUCUGAAUAAUUUGUAUAAAAUUGAUUGCUACAGUUCUCACUAGAAGCUCUAAUUGCAUUCAUGGUAUAACUUAAAAUGAUAACCUUAUCUUAAUUAGUAGCAUGAUGCAGAAAUGCUUUUGAAAGCCUCUGAGAACUAACCUGCAUUUUUAAACACAAGCCCUGGGGCUUAAAAAAAAAAAAAAAAAGAUUCCUGUUGAAUAUUGCUGAAUACAUGAGCCAAUGUUAAUUUAUCAAAACUACAAAAGAAAAUUAUCCACACAGCAAGAGAGACUAAACAAUGCAGCCCACACCUCCUCUGAUCAAGCAGUUUUGCGCCUCUCAUUGUAGAAUCACACAAGAUGUCAUUCUAACGCUUAGUUAGACCUCUGCAGAUUGUUGACACCCACAGAAGAGUCUUUCUCUGGUUUUUCUAAUGACACUAUCGAUAAUCAGUAGAGCAUGACAAUGGCGGAAUGAGUAGACAAACAGAUUGGAGGGUACGUUUUGUCUUCACACGGGAUUAAUUACCAUACAGAUCUCCACUAACAAUCCCAUAGGCUCCCAUAUCAGUCUUCUUCCCCAGUCAAUCCUAGUUCAUUUAAUUCCAGCCCUCCUCAUCCAUCGCAAGCUUUCUAACACCCCUUUCUGAUCUGCCCCUGUUGAGAAUGUCAGAGUGACGCUCUAAAAAUAAAGGUUCCCUGUGGGAGAGGUUACACUCUGUGUGUAUGUUUUCUGUAUUAUCACUGUGGUGAAAAGAUGUCCAAUAGCUCACCGAUGAUAACCAUUACCUAAGAGAGCACCUCAGAACAUCUGAACAUUAACAUAUCAAACUAUUGCCUUAAACUAUAUUAUGGCAAAAUAAAAGACUUUGCAAGUAAGUCAUUAUUGUAAACACCCAAAGUAGAUGUCACAAGUUUUUCAACAUAAUGCUUGUAAAUUGAGGCAUUUUCUAAUAAUCACUAUGCAGCUGGGCAUAUCUCCUCAAAUUUCCACCAUAAAAUAAAUAUUAGGUAGACUUCUGUUAAUCAACCAGAACUAUUAACUAUAGCUACCCCCAGAAAUGUUGAAUAGAUGCUAUUUCUAGAGGAAUACUCUUCCAAGCUUGGCUUCUGAGAUCUGUAGUUUCUUCCUCUAAGCCAGUACCACUUGGGGAAUAGCUGCCUAUAAAACAAUUUAGCAUUCCCUUCUUUGAAAAUGUAAAUAGUUCAAAAAUUUUAAAAGUAUCUUCUCCUUACUAGAAGUCAACAAUUUUGUCUAGAAGACAGUGGUUAGCACUAACAGAGGAUAUUAUAGUAUGAUAUUAUCAUUACAAUUGAAUAAAACUAGUGGAAAUUAAUAUGAUAUAAGCACCUAAUAUUUUAUUGUAGUUCCAUCUAGCUUAAUUUGUAAGCAUAGAAUAUAGUAAAAUUAAAUAGGAGAAAACAGGUACAUAAUAACGUUAAUGUGUGCCAAUAUUAAUGUGCUUUUAAAAAACAAUUUUUUAAAUUAUCAAGGUCUUUUCAAUAAGAGCAUGAAAGCACUAUUUUAAAAUACCCGCUACAUGCAAGAAGCUAUGCAUUGUAACUGAUGUGAAAGUAAACUGCUCUUACAAGAUAGCAGGGCAUCGAUUUAAUUCAUGUUAAGCUUGUCUGCAAUAAGAUAUGUCAUUUCAGAGAAGUAUUAGUAUGUGUAGUGUAUAUGGGCAUAUAUUUACAUAAGCAAAUUAUCCAUACCUUGAAAGUCCCAUAAAUGUGUAUAUUACUAGGCACAUUUCUUCUUAUUUAAAACUGUAUCUCUGGACUUGAGUAAGGAGAUUAAAGACUAAACAUAUAUUAGCACUGUGAAAAUUCAGCCUGAAAAACGUCAGGAUAAGAGAUAUUUUCAUCAACAGAUAUUUCAAAUUGACUGACCCCAAAUCUGUUUAAGACUGUUCUAAAGAAGGAAAAGCCCUCAUAUAAUUUAACUUGCUUUUCAUUUCGUUGGUCUGACAGCCACAUACUGAUAACAUCUUCAGGUUGCAAAUCCUGCCUUUCUACCAUUGCAGUUAUAGUCUCAUUUACAACAUUAAUGUGCUAAAUAGGGACUGCAUAAAAAUCUUCAAUUAUUUUCAGACAGUCUGUGCAACAUUGCUGCUAAUUCUAAUGCCCAGGAAGCACAAUCAUCAUAACCUCUGCUAUGAUCCCAACAAGGAUUCCUCAAGCUCCUUAAAAAUGCAUUAAUCGCCCCUAUGAAAGUCACUGCUUGCUUUUAACGAAGAUAAUGUAUGUUACUGGGAUUAUACCACUGCAUGCAAAAUCAUUAAAGAAAGGGAGACCAGAAUUUAUGAUUAAGCCUUUGGACAGCAGGGCACUAUUUUAACCAUAAAAAUCACAAUCUGCAGAGACAGUGGCCAAAGCAGAGGAACCAUUAAAGACUUAUAAUUAGCAUCAAUCACGGUGACACUACUGUUGGCAUCUUUAUUACCUUAAAUACACUAAUCAAAUACUUCUGCAUUGAGAUGGAAAGAUUGAUAGGCAGCUAGACAUGGAAAACAUCUCUAUGGAGAACAACUUUAAAUUAUCUGUUCGAAAGGUUUUAAAAAAAAAAAAAGUAUUGGUAUUAGUCAAGUGGGAUUCUAACACACAGCUCCAAAAGACAAGUACUCAGAAUGGACCUAUGAGGUUGUCAGGGUCCUCAUGUGGAUGCUUUAACACUAAGCAUUUCUCCAAACAAACACAUAUUUGCAUGUCCCCUUUGGGAACCCACUGGACUUGCUUCAUUUGGAUGAAAAAUAUAAAUAAAUAAAUAACUUAAGGGAACAUAAGCAUCAGGCUACUGUGUCCUAUAAAUAAACAGCCAAGCACUCCUGCCCAACAUUUAUAUAUUUUCUAGCCUUCUCCGUACACGGGCACACGGAAAUGAAAGACAAAAGGAGAGCUGAACUUAGUACUAUUUACAUAAUUACAAUAGGGGCUGUCAAUAUUAUCUAAUUGCAUCGCUGCUCAAUUUCAUACCACACAGACUCUGAAAUAUGCUCUUAUUAUUACUGCUCAUAUAAAUAUUUCAGUCUUAAUGAACAAGAAGCCGCUCAGCCUCUCUGCCACCCCUUGAGCCCAUAUGGCAUUAUACCUUAAUGACUGUAAUUUUUAAAAGGCGUUCUUCUCCAAACACUUUCUGUGAACACUAUUUCAGUGUUCAUAAACUGAAUUCUUGAGGUUAAGGGCACACACCACAAAGAAAGGAUAUGAAGUAGUUUGCCUAUAAAAAAGUCUGGCUGGAAUCAAUUCAGAAUCACGGAUAAAGAUUUGGCAAGGCAUCUCCCAAGGGUACAACUUCAUCUUUGCCAAACGAAAUAAUAAUUGCAAAGACUUUCGUUAUAAAGAUGAUGAGCCCCAACAAUUGUGUUGGCUCCAAAGUUCAACUUUUACUUACAAGUUCCUUAAUUGGCACACCCACCACUAGGUUUAAAAAAUAUAUUACAUUUCCUUUACACCUGUCUCUAAAAAAAAAAAA
rnacentral:lncRNA from 1 species